AGCGUACACGGUGGAUGCCCUGGCAGUCAGAGGCGAUGAAGGGCGUGCUAAUCUGCGAUAAGCGCCGGUAAGGUGAUAUGAACCGUUAUAACCGGCGAUACCCGAAUGGGGAAACCCAGUGUGAUUCGUCACACUAUCAUUAACUGAAUCCAUAGGUUAAUGAGGCGAACCGGGGGAACUGAAACAUCUAAGUACCCCGAGGAAAAGAAAUCAACCGAGAUUCCCCCAGUAGCGGCGAGCGAACGGGGAGGAGCCCAGAGCCUGAAUCAGCAUGUGUGUUAGUGGAAGCGUCUGGAAAGGUGCGCGAUACAGGGUGACAGCCCCGUACACAAAAGCGCAUGUGCUGUGAGCUCGAUGAGUAGGGCGGGACACGUGAUAUCCUGUCUGAAUAUGGGGGGACCAUCCUCCAAGGCUAAAUACUCCUGACUGACCGAUAGUGAACCAGUACCGUGAGGGAAAGGCGAAAAGAACCCCGGCGAGGGGAGUGAAAAAGAACCUGAAACCGUGUACGUACAAGCAGUGGGAGCACAGGUUUACCUGUGUGACUGCGUACCUUUUGUAUAAUGGGUCAGCGACUUAUAUUCUGUAGCAAGGUUAACCGUAUAGGGGAGCCGUAGGGAAACCGAGUCUUAACCGGGCGUUAAGUUGCAGGGUAUAGACCCGAAACCCGGUGAUCUAGCCAUGGGCAGGUUGAAGGUUGGGUAACACUAACUGGAGGACCGAACCGACUAAUGUUGAAAAAUUAGCGGAUGACCUGUGGCUGGGGGUGAAAGGCCAAUCAAACCGGGAGAUAGCUGGUUCUCCCCGAAAGCUAUUUAGGUAGCGCCUCGUGAAUUCAUCUCCGGGGGUAGAGCACUGUUUCGGCUAGGGGGCCAUCCCGGCUUACCAACCCGAUGCAAACUGCGAAUACCGGAGAAUGUUAUCACGGGAGACACACGGCGGGUGCUAACGUCCGUCGUGAAGAGGGAAACAACCCAGACCGCCAGCUAAGGUCCCAAAGUCAUGGUUAAGUGGGAAACGAUGUGGGAAGGCCCAGACAGCCAGGAUGUUGGCUUAGAAGCAGCCAUCAUUUAAAGAAAGCGUAAUAGCUCACUGGUCGAGUCGGCCUGCGCGGAAGAUGUAACGGGGCUAAACCAUGCACCGAAGCUGCGGCAGCGAACGUAUCACCCAAGACAACUUUACGGAGUUGACGAUUGACGGAGCGAAGCGACGUCAAAGCGUUCAUUAAAGUCGAGUUGGCUUAGGGAUACGUUCGUUGGGUAGGGGAGCGUUCUGUAAGCCUGUGAAGGUGUGUCGUGAGGCAUGCUGGAGUGCUGGAGGUAUCAGAAGUGCGAAUGCUGACAUAAGUAACGAUAAAGCGGGUGAAAAGCCCGCUCGCCGGAAGACCAAGGGUUCCUGUCCAACGUUAAUCGGGGCAGGGUGAGUCGACCACUAAGGCGAGGCCGAAAGGCGUAGUCGAUGGGAAACGGGUUAAUAUUCCCGUACUUGGUGUUACUGCGAAGGGGGGACGGAGAAGGCUAUGUUGGCCGGGCGACGGUUGUCCCGGUUUAAGCGUGUAGGUGUGUGUUCCAGGUAAAUCCGGUUCACUUUAACACUGAGGCGUGACGACGAGGCACUACGGUGCUGAAGCAACAAAUGCCCUGCUUCCAGGAAAAGCCUCUAAGCAUCAGGUAACAUCAAAUCGUACCCCAAACCGACACAGGUGGUCAGGUAGAGAAUACCAAGGCGCUUGAGAGAACUCGGGUGAAGGAACUAGGCAAAAUGGUGCCGUAACUUCGGGAGAAGGCACGCUGACACGUAGGUGAAGUGAUUUACUCAUGGAGCUGAAGUCAGUCGAAGAUACCAGCUGGCUGCAACUGUUUAUUAAAAACACAGCACUGUGCAAACACGAAAGUGGACGUAUACGGUGUGACGCCUGCCCGGUGCCGGAAGGUUAAUUGAUGGGGUCAGCGCAAGCGAAGCUCCUGAUCGAAGCCCCGGUAAACGGCGGCCGUAACUAUAACGGUCCUAAGGUAGCGAAAUUCCUUGUCGGGUAAGUUCCGACCUGCACGAAUGGCGUAAUGAUGGCCAGGCUGUCUCCACCCGAGACUCAGUGAAAUUGAACUCGCUGUGAAGAUGCAGUGUACCCGCGGCAAGACGGAAAGACCCCGUGAACCUUUACUAUAGCUUGACACUGAACAUUGAGCCUUGAUGUGUAGGAUAGGUGGGAGGCUUUGAAGUGUGGACGCCAGUCUGCAUGGAGCCGACCUUGAAAUACCACCCUUUAAUGUUUGAUGUUCUAACGUGGACCCGUAAUCCGGGUUGCGGACAGUGUCUGGUGGGUAGUUUGACUGGGGCGGUCUCCUCCUAAAGAGUAACGGAGGAGCACGAAGGUUGGCUAAUCCUGGUCGGACAUCAGGAGGUUAGUGCAAUGGCAUAAGCCAGCUUGACUGCGAGCGUGACGGCGCGAGCAGGUGCGAAAGCAGGUCAUAGUGAUCCGGUGGUUCUGAAUGGAAGGGCCAUCGCUCAACGGAUAAAAGGUACUCCGGGGAUAACAGGCUGAUACCGCCCAAGAGUUCAUAUCGACGGCGGUGUUUGGCACCUCGAUGUCGGCUCAUCACAUCCUGGGGCUGAAGUAGGUCCCAAGGGUAUGGCUGUUCGCCAUUUAAAGUGGUACGCGAGCUGGGUUUAGAACGUCGUGAGACAGUUCGGUCCCUAUCUGCCGUGGGCGCUGGAGAACUGAGGGGGGCUGCUCCUAGUACGAGAGGACCGGAGUGGACGCAUCACUGGUGUUCGGGUUGUCAUGCCAAUGGCACUGCCCGGUAGCUAAAUGCGGAAGAGAUAAGUGCUGAAAGCAUCUAAGCACGAAACUUGCCCCGAGAUGAGUUCU
rnacentral:rRNA from 1 species